AAUUUGACUGAUUUUUUUCUGUGUUGGUGUUGUGUACUCAGAGUGGCAUCACAAAUAUCAUAUUCACCUGAGUACACAACACCAACACAGAAAAAAAUCAUAUU